rnacentral:rRNA from 1 species
UACGUAGGGUGCAAGCGUUGUCCGGAAUUAUUGGGCGUAAAGAGCUCGUAGGCGGUUCGUCGCGUCGGCUGUGAAAACCCGGAGCUCAACUCCGGGCCUGCAGUCGAUACGGGCGGACUUGAGUGUUGCAGGGGAGACUGGAAUUUCUGGUGUAGCGGUGAAAUGCGCAGAUAUCAGGAGGAACACCGGUGGCGAAGGCGGGUCUCUGGGCAAUAACUGACGCUGAGGAGCGAAAGCGUGGGGAGCGAACAGG